UAUUGCACAAUGGGCGCAAGCCUGAUGCAGCAACGCCGCGUGAGGGACGACGGCCUUCGGGUUGUAAACCUCUUUUAGCAGGGAAGAAGCGAAAGUGACGGUACCUGCAGAAAAAGCACCGGCUAACUACGUGCCAGCAGCCGCGGUAAUACGUAGGGUGCAAGCGUUGUCCGGAAUUAUUGGGCGUAAAGAGCUCGUAGGCGGUUUGUCACGUCUGCUGUAAAUCCCGAGGCUCAACCUCGACUUGCAGUGGGACGGGCAGCAAAGUGCGGAGGGAGAUUGAAUUCCUGGUGAGCGGUGAAUGCGCAGUUCAGAGAUCACCAAUGGCAAGGAAUCUCUGGCCGACUGCGUGAGCAAAGAGA
rnacentral:rRNA from 1 species